ensembl:lncRNA
AGAGUCAGACAUGUUUGAAGUGCCUCCUGGUAGUCCUCAUUACACACUGAAGAUAUCCCAGUGAUGCCAGCAGAAGAUGUGCUGGAGUACAGAGGCGUGUGGCUGUGCAGCAUGGGGAGAGGGCAUUCCUGUGUGUGACCAGUUUUUCCUGCAAAGCAACUGCUUGGUGCUGAUAGUGAGAACUGUAUGGCAACGUGUGCUGGAAGUCUUGCUGAUAUCUGAAAGCCUCAGGAUUUGCUCGCCGAGACACUGGGGACCCCCCUGCAGAAGUGCACCUGUUCUGCUGCUUGGUAUGGGCAGACACAUUGGCCAGGGGAAGAAGCAAAAAUCCCAAGAGGAGCAAGACCUUUCAGUUUUUGAGUUCUUAUUCCAAAAGUCUUUUGAGUCAGCAGCUGUGGGCCCUUCCCAGCUCUGGAAGGAAUGCCAGAUCAGUGCAGUGAGGAACAAGACUGAACUGCCACCACGCAUGUCAUGCAGAGCAUCAGCUGAAGCACAGAGAAGUCACUGCCCUGUUUACUGAGAGAGGUCAACCCUCUAUAAGCAGAGUUGCUGACAGAAUGGUAAAAUAUCAUCUGUCCUGCUCCAGCUAUGUGACCGAGCAAGCAAAGGGAUUUGGGCACGUUGUCUCUUCAUGUAUAUAAACAUAGUCUGUGUAAUCCUACCUAAUAGGGCAAUUAAACAUUAUCAGUAAAACAAGUGAGCUUUCAGGCCUCCGGCUCCUCAUAAGGUUAUAAGGAAAAUUGAAGUGAGCUGGCUUACUUCCUAGCAAGGGGUUGAUCACCAUUUUAGUUCCUAGAUCUGAAGGGAAAGAUGGAAAUAUGAGGGGAAAAAGAGGUGGGUUAGCAUUUCUCACCUGAAUGGCUGUAUGGAUUGCAGAAGUAGGAGUGCUGCCCAUGAUAAACAAAGAAUGAGGACAAAACAAAAGACAAGAAGUAUUCCUCCUGUGGGAGGGUUCUAAUUUAGCCAGUGCUGAGAACAUGGAUGAAAGAAAAACAGUGUUGCUACUGUAGAGGUGUCAAGAAAGUGGCUUGCUAUGUCAGUACAUUAAUGUUGAAGUCUAGCAACUUAGUUUUUCUUUAGUUUUCCUGAAGUCCAUGAAAAGGUUCCUGUGAUUCAUUAGUGCCAAUGGGGGGGAUUCCCUCUGGAUCUUUUUGUCUCUUGGUUACCUGCAUUUUUUUUCCUUGCCUCCUGAAGUAUGAUUACUUAUUGUAUAUGAUUACUUCUUGUAUAUCCUGAGGUGGUUUGGGAAGGAAUUAGAUAAUGGGCUGAUGAAAGGAGGGGACUUUCUGGAACAUGGAAAGUACCACUGAUAAUGAACUUUGCAUUCUUCUGGGACUGAGAAAAGCAUGCAUGGACUUUGGUUGUACUUUUAGCCAUUUAGCAAUUUAAUCUGUGCAUGCCUUUCUUUACAUCUUUUGGGCUCUGGCCCUGCCAAGACUGGGCUGUUUUUGGGAAAAUACCUCAUUGCUUCCUAAUACCAGAUCACUGCUCUAGCACACAGUGUUUCAUAACAAAUCCAUCCAAAGAGUGGUUAGGGUGUGCUGGAGCUGCCUUGGCAGAGGUUUUCAGUUAGAGCCGAGUCAGCACAGCCUCCAGCAGGUUCCCUUCCUCCGCCUUCCCUUCUGGGAUGGCUCCAACUCACCAGGCAGGAAUCCGAGCAGUGGGGACCUCCAGAAGGAUUUAAUCUAUCAGAAACUGAAUUGCUGUGCUGGCUGCAGUCACUCAUAAUUCAAAGAGAACAUGUUAGAGAAACUGAUCUAGAUUGAUUUUAAAAACUCAUCUGGCACUGUACCUCAGCAUUUCUUGAUCACUGCAGGAAAAAACUGAUUCUGAAAUAAUAUAAAGUAUAUUGCUGAAUUGGCAUAAGAAAAUCUCCAUUAGGGUAUCACUGAUUUUGCAGAGUAGGAUUUAGCAUCUGAAACUGAUGAUUAGAAACAAAUAAAAAUGAAAUGUAAAAUAUUGCCA